rnacentral:misc_RNA from 1 species
GAUGAAGAACGCAGCGAAAUGCGAUAAGUAAUGUGAAUUGCAGAAUUCAGUGAAUCAUCGAAUCUUUGAACGCACAUUGCGCCCGCCAGUAUUCUGGCGGGCAUGCCUGUUCGAGCGUCAUUUCAACCAUCAAGCCCCCGGCUUGUGUUGGGGACCUGCGGCUGCCGCAGGCCCUGAAAACCAGUGGCGGGCUCGCUGUCACACCGAGCGUAGUAGAUUUUCAUCUCGCUCAGGGCGUGCUGCGGGUUCCGGCCGUAAAGAGCCUUAUUUACCCAAGGUUGACCUCGGAUCAGGUAGGAAGACCCGCUGAACUUAAGCAUAUCAAUAAGCGGAGGA